rnacentral:rRNA from 1 species
GACGUAGGGUGCGAGCGUUGUCCGGAUUUAUUGGGCGUAAAGAGCUCGUAGGCGGUGUGUCACGUCGGCCGUGAAAACCUGCAGCUUAACUGUGGGCGUGCGGUCGAUACGGGCAUCACUGGAGUUCGGCAGGGGAGACUGGAAUUCCUGGUGUAGCGGUGAAAUGCGCAGAUAUCAGGAGGAACACCAGUGGCGAAGGCGGGUCUCUGGACAGUUCCUGACACUGAGGCACGAAGGCCAGGGGAGCAAACGGG